UAAAAAACUUUUAAUAUACAAGAGAUAAAGAGAUGAAAAUGAUAUAUUUAUUUAUUUCACUUGGGUAUAGGUAAGUGGAACCUGAUUACUAAGAUUUAAAGAUCUCUUUUCACUUCAGACAUUACAACUCCAUGCAAACUCUUUGAAAGUGGGUAUUCAUGUGAAGUAUAAGGGCAAUGCUGUUACUUAGAGUGAAGUCUGGAAUCAGUGUAUGUAUAUUAGUAGUGUAUUAGGGCUCUCCAGAAAAACACAACAUAUACCUAUAUCUAUUCUAUAUCUGUAUAUCUCAUCUAUAUAUCCAUAUCCAUAUCUGUAUCCGUAGCCAUAUCCAUAUCCAUAUCCAUAUCUAUAUCCAUAUCCAUAUCCAUAUCCAUAUCUAUAUCUAGAGGGAGAUUUACCUUAAGUAAUUGGCUCACAUGAUUAUGGAGGCUGGUCAGUCCAAAAUAUGCAGGCUGGUCUGGCAGGCUGGAGACCCAAAGAAAAGCCAAAGAGUUCAAGUCCAAAGGGUGUCUGCUGCAGAAUUCCCUCUUUGUUGGGAGUAGUCAGUCUUUGGUUUUAUUUAGGUCUUCACCUGACUGGAUGAAUCCCACCCACAUUAUGGGCAACAUUCUGCCCACCAUAAAGUCUACCAGUUUAAAUGUUAAUUUCAUCCAAAAACACUGUCAUGGAACUAUCCAGAAUCAUGUUUGAUCACAUAUCUAGGUAGUGUGGCCAAGCCAAGUUAACACACAACAUCAACUGUCAUAGGUAGGCAGAAGGUGCCUCAGGAACCGAUACAAUUAGUAAAAGCUGGGCUCUGAAGACUGCAUAACCCCUUUUCUCCUCACCAUAGUAAGAAGAGCAGAACCAGCUAGUACUCUAAUUAAACAGGGUAAGCAUGAGAUAAUGAAUUCAGGAAGAAAGCUCUAGGCUACUGCAUUGAAUUCUAAUUUUUGCUUGCUUGCAUCCCAGCCUCACCCUCCAUCAUUAGAAUAUUCUUCUGUUUUGCUAAGUCAGCCAGUCAUUCUCUCUUGUUGACCAAUACCUGGAUCUGUGUCUUGCAAAGAAUAAUGUCUUAUAAAGAUUUACUAGGCCAUAUCCAAAUCAAGGGUCAUAUAUAUCAUUUAUUCAUUCAUCCAUUUAUUCAUUCCUUUAUCUAUUUAACAAAUAUUUAUUAAGAAAGUAUUAAAUGCCAAAAAUUCUUCUAGGUUUUGGGGACCAAACAAACACUGAACAAAGUGGAUGUAGUUCUGGUCUUUAUGGAGCAUACUGCCUGUGAGGUAAGAUGGAUAAUAAACCAAUAGUUUUAUAUUGCUCAAAUAAUUACCUUAUUAUAGAUGUAAUAAAUAGCAUGAAGAAAAAGUACGGGGCUCAAUGACAGGAUGUUACAGGAUAACACAAGAAUGAGUAAAAGUAACAGACACUUAGAGAUGACAAUAAAACUUAUUUCUUUGUAUCUCAGUCUAACCCAUACAAUCCCAUUUAUAAAUGCUCCAUAAUCUGUUUGCUUAUGGCUGGAAACACAUGAGCAUGGUGAUUCUUGAAGCUAUGUGUUGAGAACAGCAGAACCACACAUUGAAAGCAGCUUGGAUUUCUGAAACCCUGCAUUGAAGGCCACCCACCAAAUGCCAGAAUUGGACUGUUAUGUAUACACUCAGAGGAAAAACAAAAACAAAAACAAAAACAAAAAAAUUGUGAAGACACAGGGAGAAGAUGACCAUCUGCAAGCCAAGCAAAAAGGUUAAGAAGAAACAAAUUCUGCUGACACCUUAAUCUUGGACUUCUGUCCUUCAGAACUGUGAAUAAAUAAAUUUCUGUUUAAGUCACCCAGUCUAUAUUAUUUGUUACAACAGUUAAAACAAACUAAUAUAAUUCCUGACACAGGCUUCAUGCAAUUUUAUUCUCCUUUCUCGGUAAUGAUUUUCUCCUCUGUUAGAUGCUCUAACUAUAAGUGAUGAAAACUAAAUGUGUGUAAUUGUUAGAGAAUAUCAAAGAAAAUAAAAACCCUCAUUCUUGCUUAAUUGAUCUGCCCAUUUUUAGGAAGUAUCUUCUUUUAUACCUAGGUUAAGCAGAUUCAGACUUUCUCUAUAAAAUACAAUUCUUUUCUCCUCUCCGUUAAAAAAUAUGUAUGUGAUUUUCUGAUGAUAAUCAUUUUGUUGAAUUAUUUUUAACCCUGUUUUGCAAAUAAUCAUUCACCAGAAUAUUGCUGAUGGUCAUGAGAGUAGGAGAGAACUUAUUUUACUACACUGGUUGGGAAAAAAAUUUGGUUAGUUAGUUUACACAGUUUGUUGUAUUGAUUUGAACCAUUUAUGUUUUGGUUUAUGUUUUUUUUUUUUCUGAUAAGACACAUUGGGAGAAGAAAGUCGGAUGAGAUUUUAAGUCCCACCUAGCUCUGUUACUAAAUAACCAUGUUAUCUUGAGUUAACUAACUGGAUUUUCUGAGUCUACUAACUACUUUGUAAUAUGGCAUUGAUUUCAUGGUUGCCUUACCUGGUCAUUUAUUCAUAAUUCAAUAAAGAAACAAGCAGGCACUGAGGAAUGCCUGUAUGCCAGGCACUGUAUUAGAUAUUGGUGACUCAAUGGAGAGUAAAGCUAGCCACAAUCUGUUUUUGAGGAGCUUACAUUUUAGCGGGAAAAUAAAUAUUUAUCAAAGAAAUACAAAAAUAAAUAUAAAAUCUCAAUGUUUCUAACUUAUGUGAGGAGAGAGGCUUUGAAAGCUUAUCAUGGAACUGGAGGGGUAUAGGAGAAGGGUAUUUUAUCUAAUCAAAGUGUUUGAAGGUCUCCUCAAGGAAGUGAUAAUUGGGCUGACAUCUGAAAAAGGGAGUAGGUGCCAGCUAGGUCAUUGGGAGGAUAAAAAUAGGCAAUGGAUAUGGAUGCAGUACUAUCUUCUUACUAUCAUUACUGUUUUUUAAUAAAUGGAGACCCAUUCAGCUUUUUUUCAUCUAGUCAGUGAACUUACAAUGUGUCUUAUGAUACCUCCUGUCUUCAAUAAAUCUUUCCAAACUUAAGGUUGACAUACCCACAUAAUUUCAUAUUCUCAAAGUAAUUGCCACAUUCAUGAGAAAAACUAUCAAAAAAAACCCCAAUUCAUUGUAAAGCAUGGCCCCUUUACAUUUUUCUUAAUCUUGUUGCUAUUUCCUAUUCUUUAUCUAUGUUAAAUAGUAACUUUUAUAUCCACUGUGUUUAUCAUAUUAAACUUGAAUUAUGGAAUUCUUUCUGUAUCUUAUCUCAUGCAUUGGAAAUGGAGUUAAUUCUCUUCAGCUUAGUCCUACCCCAGUUUCAAGCCUUUGUAAUAAUGUACGUUGUUUUUGAAGACUUCUGACCAGUAAACUGCAUACUUCAAAAAUGGACCAUCUAAGUCCAACAGACACCAUUUAACAACAAACUGUCUGAUUCUCUAAUACUAGGCAAUUAUAUAAGGACUAUCCAAAGAUAAUAAAAUACCUUUUUCCCCCAA